UCCAGACUCCUACGGGAGGCAGCAGUGGGGAAUAUUGCACAAUGGGGGAAACCCUGAUGCAGCGACGCCGCGUGAGUGAAGAAGUAUUUCGGUAUGUAAAGCUCUAUCAGCAGGGAAGAAAUAGCGACCUUUGGGUCGCCAGACGGUACCUGAUUAAGAAGCCCCGGCUAACUACGUGCCAGCAGCCGCGGUAAUACGUAGGGGGCAAGCGUUAUCCGGAUUUACUGGGUGUAAAGGGAGCGUAGACGGCAGCGCAAGUCUGAAGUGAAAUGCCGGGGCUUAACCCCGGAACUGCUUUGGAAACUGUUAAGCUGGAGUGCAGGAGAGGUAAGUGGAAUUCCUAGUGUAGCGGUGAAAUGCGUAGAUAUUAGGAGGAACACCAGUGGCGAAGGCGGCUUACUGGACGGUAACUGACGUUGAGGCUCGAAAGCGUGGGGAGCAAACAGGAUUAGAUACCCGUGUA
rnacentral:rRNA from 1 species